AUUUGUUUAAUAUUAGGCCCAAGAAAACGUACUCAAUAAACCUUACCACGGAAGCAAGUGUAUAUUUUCUCUCUACUGCGUGGGACGGCGACGGCGCUCCAGUUUCUUCACCGUUACUGAAUCAGAUUUCGUUAUGGUUUCUUGGUGUUUAAUCCCAUUAACUAUGCGGUUUACAUCGGAGAAGCUCUGUCAAUUCGGGCCUUAUUCUCCGAUUUGAAGGCCGGCAAGCGUUUAUCCAUUGUCGAGGCUAGGCUGCUGCGUUUCUCGGAGGCAAGGAAUGUGAAGCGCCCCUCCAGAUUCAGACUUGUUGCAGUUUCAGAUAAUUAUUUAAAAGAGCUUUCACCUCAUUUUGAAGAAGGCAUUCAGAUUGAUAGAUGAUGGGCUUGAGCAAGUUAGAGGCUUUUUAUCGAUGAAACUAUGCCAUUUAAAGAACGGUUAAAGAUAUUGGGGCUGUCCUCGCAACAGAUACCUGGUGCAAAAGUCGGUUACAGUGAAUACUGACGCUGCCAUUUUUGUAGCAUUGGAUCGGUCAAUAACAAAGCUAAUCAAUGUUCGUGCCUCUGAGGUUUUCCCUGGUAUGGUUCGCCACAAGACCAAGCACAUGCUAACCAAUGGGAAUAAGAACUGUUCAGCAUCGCGUUUUAGGAUUGUUCGUUUUAGUACAAAUGAUUUUAAACCUAUUUAUUAUGUUCAGCUUCUGAGAAAGUGAGUUUAUUGCUAUAAUUUUUAUGAACCUGUUUUACUCCAAACAUUCUCUUUUAGAACAAUAAGUAAAAAAAUUAAUAUUAGUUUGUUUACCCAAUAACGGUGGUAUCGAUUUUCCAUACUCGGAUUA